rnacentral:rRNA from 1 species
AUUGAACGCUGGCGGCAGGCCUAACACAUGCAAGUCGAGCGAGCGGCGGACGGGUGAGGAAUGUAUGGGGACUGCCCGCUAGAGGGGGAUAACUAAUGGAAACGGUAGCUAAUACUGCAUACUAUCGGAUAACCCAUAUGGGAUUAGCUAGUAGGUGAGGUAAUGGCUCACCUAGGCGACGAUCCCUAGCUGGUCUGAGAGGAUGAUCAGCCACACUGGGACUGAGACACGGCCCAGACUCCUACGGAGGCAGCAGUGGGGAAUAUUGCACAAUGGGGGCAAUCCUGAUGCAGCCAUGCCGCGUGUAUGAAGAAGGCCUUAGGGUUGUAAAGUACUUUCAGUCGGGAGGCGUUACCGACAGAAUAAGCACCGGCUAACUCCGUGCCAGCAGCCGCGGUAAUAC